CAGGAACUACUUCCAUGUGCCACUGGAAUACUUCUGGAGUAAGGCAGACCACCCACUUACAGAAACUGAAGAAGUGUGUCUUGGCCAACUGCAGUGACAGGAGAACUGAAAUGCUGUGCUGCGAAAGGCACUAAUGUCAAGAGCUCAGCAGAAACCUCACAGGGAACAGCAAGCAGCAUUCUGGGCUGUACAAUGUUCUGCUCCUGCCCCCACAGCUACAUAAAUUUUCUCCCCUUACUAAUUCCUUCCUACCCGUGUUUCUUUUCAUCUUCCCUCUCUUUUGCUGUACUGCCUAUUCAUUUAUUUUCAUCUCCCGUUUUAAUCUUCUUAGUCCUUCAAGUAUGCUGUAUGUGCCCUCUAAAGGAGCAGUUCGUACACAGCAGAGCCUGUGAUUUCUUAAAAGCAACAGGACUUAUUCAUGCAGCUGAAUUUUGCUAGUGUUCAUGUGCCCUUGAUUCACACUGGGAGUAUAGGGUGCCCAUGACUGAGUCUGCUAUAAACUGGUUAUAAUGUCAUUAAUGUCUCAAAUGCCUUGAAAGUAUUUCAGAAACCAAGACUGAGCCUGGUGCCUGUGCAGAAACAGAAAUGCUUUCACCACAUGCACAGCUAUAGGCCUCUUGCUCCCCAUGGGUGGUGCAGAACCAGAAAGAGGAGCUUGCACAGCAAGUAUCAGGAAGGGAAUGGGACUGUGGCUCUCCCUGGCAGAACUGACCAGACUGAAGCAGAGGAGGUAACUUGUUCCUCAAAACUGGGAACUGCAAGUGGUCUUACACUGGAAAAGUAAUCCAGGAAAGGAGGUGGCAGUGUGCACUCCUUGUGUAAAGGAUCUGACCCUUAGGGCUGAUGGUGGGCCAUGGUACACUGCAACUGCAACUUUGUUAACUUACGUGCCUUUGCAAACAGUGGGCAUACAAAUAGAUAAUCCUUUGCACUGUUCUUGAAGGGUUCAAGUGCUUAAUUCACCUUCUCGCUUCACUGUACUUUAGGUGAACAAACCUGGGAAAGACCGUAAUACAUCAGAACUGGCAGGGUAUCUCCCCUUAGUAUCCCUCCUCGUUCUGACAGAGGCAGUCUCUGGCAGAGACCCAAGCAAUGCUUUGAAGAUGAAGAGAAAAGGACCUUUAAUGGUAAGAAACUGACCAAGUUACUGUGAGUCAGUCAAGAACUUAGAUGCAUAGUUCGAUACACUAUAACUGAACAGAGCUCUGCAAGCAAACUGAGGGGGUAUGACAAAGGCAGCGAAAUGCCAAGCAAAGAUACAGUCACCUUCAGCUAAAAGGAUACAAAAGCUUCCUUUAACACUGGUUCUGCCUUUGUUGUGCAGCCCAGAAAACACAGUCCGUGCUCUUGAGUCCUCCCUCCCACACACUUUGGUGUGUAUGUACAGUAUUUGUGAAGCUAGAAAAUCUCACUAUGAAUUACUGCACAAUAAACCUACCUCUUCAUUUGUACCGAAGUGGUGGGGACCCUGUUCCACUUUUACAGCAGCAUAUUUAAUAAGUAAAAAAUAGGAGUUCAUUAAAAAUAAAUUUAUUUCUUGCUAGGAAGUCUUUGGUUUAAAUGUCCAUUUUCAGACAUUAUAUGCUCAAGUCCUGCAGUGGGUCACUUACUAAAAUUUGAUUUGAAGAUCUGCCUACAAGUCAUAAACAGUCUCGUAAAGAUGUAACUAUCGUAAUAACUUUCCUUUUCCCGGUUGGAAGUAUAAGAUGAACUGUUUUGAAGCACCUAAUGUAUAACUAAUGUUUAUUUGUUUUACAAGAAGCUUUACAGCUGCAAUGUUCCAAGAAUGCUUAAAUUCAAUAAACAGCUAUUAUAAUUCACUGAA